rnacentral:rRNA from 1 species
CGGGGGGGCGAAGCGUUGUUCGGAAUUACUGGGCGUAAAGGGCUCGUAGGCGGCCAACUAAGUCAUACGUGAAAUCCCUCGGCUUAACCGGGGAACUGCGUCUGAUACUGGAUGGCUUGAGUUCGGGAGAGGGAUGCGGAAUUCCAGGUGUAGCGGUGAAAUGCGUAGAUAUCUGGAGGAACACCGGUGGCGAAGGCGGCAUCCUGGACCGAUACUGACGCUGAGGAGCGAAAGCCAGGGGAGCAAACGGGAUUAGAUACCCCGGUAGUCCUGGCCCUAAACGAUGAAUGCUUGGUGUGGCGGGUAUCGAUCCCUGCCGUGCCGAAGCUAACGCAUUAAGCAUUCCGCCUGGGGAGUACGGUCGCAAGGCUG